AAUAUCAAACACAAAGUCAAGAAAAGAAAGGGGUGCUCGCUUUGGCAGCAUAAAUACUAUAAUUGGAACGACACUGAGUAGAUUAGCAUGGGCCCUGCGCAAGGAUGACACUUAAAUUCGUGAAGUGUUCCAUAUUUCUGGAGCUUCUAACUAGAAUGAACAGUUUAGAGAGGAACUUAAAUGACCCAGGGAGCUGAAAAACCAGCAUGAGAACUUUGUGAAGCAUACACAAGUAUCAAUAGCUGAAUCGAUCAAGCAGGAGAAAAAGUGUUAGAGUUUGAAGCCCAUCUUGCUGAAAUAAGUCAGGCAGACAAGAUUAGAGAAAAAAAUAAUGAAAAGGAAGAAAUAAAACCUCCGAGAAAUAUGGGACUAUGUAAAAUUACUAAACUUACAAUUGAUUGGAGUACUUGAAAAAGAUGGGGAGAAUGGAACCAAGUUGGAAAACACACUUAAAGAUAUUACUCAGGAGAAUUUCUGCAACCUAGCAAGACAGGCCAACAUUCAAAUUCAGGAAAUACAAAGAACAUUACUAAGAUACUACACAAGAUAUCAACCCCAAGACACAUAAUCAUCAGAUUCUCCAUGGUUGAAAUGAAGGAAAAAAUGUUAAGGGCAUCCAGAGAAAGGCCAAGUCACCUACAAAGGGAAGUUCAUCAGACUAACAGCAGAUCUCUCAGCAGAAGCUCUACAAGUCACAAGAAAGUGGGGGACAAUAGUCAACAUUCUUUUUUUUAUUAUUAUUAUUUUUUAUACUUUAAGUUUUAGGGUACAUGUGCACAAUGUGCAGGUUAGUUACAUAUGUAUACAUGUGCCAUGUUGAUGUGCUGCACCCAUUAACUCGUCAUUUAACAUUAGGUAUAUCUCCUAAUGCUAUCCCUCUCCCCUCCCCCCACCCCACAACAGGCCCCAGUGUGUGAUGUUCCCCUUCCUGUGUCCGUGUUCAAUUCCUGUGUCCAUUGUUCAAUUCCCACCUAUGACUGAGAACAUGCAGUGUUUGGUUUUUUGUCCUUGCGAUAGUUUGCUGAGAAUGAUGUUUUUUUUUGUUUUGUUUUGUUUUGUUUUUGAGACAGAGUCUUGCUCAGUCGCCCAGGCUGGAGGGCAGUGGCGCAAUCUCAGUUCACUGCAAGCUCUGCCUCCCGGGUUCAUGCCAUUCUCCUGCCUCAGCCUCCUGAGUAGCUGGG
rnacentral:lncRNA from 10 species